AAUUAGGGUUCGAUUCCGGAGAGGGAGCCUGAGAAACGGCUACCACAUCCAAGGAAGGCAGCAGGCGCGCAAAUUACCCAAUCCCGAUACGGGGAGGUAGUGACAAUAAAUAACAAUACAGGGCUCUUAUGGGUCUUGUAAUUGGAAUGAGUGCAAUUUAAAUCCCUUAACGAGGAACAAUUGGAGGGCAAGUCUGGUGCCAGCAGCCGCGGUAAUUCCAGCUCCAAUAGCGUAUAUUAAAGUUGUUGCAGUUAAAAAGCUCGUAGUUGAAUUUCGGGGUUCUACCGUUGGUCGGGCAAUUGUCUGUACUGAUGUGUAGAAUUUCUACCUUCUGGAGAACCAUCAUGUUAUUAAUUUAGCGUGGUGGGAAACCAGAACCUUUACCUUGAAAAAAUUAGAGUGUCCAAAGCAGGCUUACGUCUGAAUACAUUAGCAUGGAAUAAUAAAAUAGGACGGUGGUCCUGUUUUGUUGGUUUCUGAAUCACCGUAAUGAUUAAUAGGGAUAGUUGGGGGCAUUAGUAUUCAAUUGUCAGAGGUGAAAUUCUUGGAUUUAUUGAAGACUAACUUCUGCGAAAGCAUUUGCCAAGGAUGUUUUCAUUAAUCAAGAACGAAAGUUAGGGGAUCGAAGACGAUCAGAUACCGUCGUAGUCUUAACCAUAAACUAUGCCGACUAGGGAUCGGACGAUGUUA
rnacentral:rRNA from 1 species